CGGAGCAACUACGAUCAAAUCACAAUCUGAUUCACAAUAUUAAACAUUUAAUUAUAAGUAAAAAAAAGUACAUAAAACAAUACAUAAUUAUUUUUGGGUCUUAUACGAGCUUACAAAAGAUCUAACUGAAGGCAUAUUAGAACUAAAUUGUAAUGUUUGCAAAAUUCCAAGUUGAUGUCGCAACGUUGAGGAUUCCUUGUCGCGACGCAACAUACUGACCUGGCUCUUCAUUACAACAAUCUAUUCUCGACAUCGCAUCAUGGCAUUAUGACGUGAUCUCGUCGCGGCGACCAAAGCUCGAAAUCAAUUCAAUUUGGACUCCUCUAGGUACAUGCCAUUUAAUUAAAAAAAAUCAAUUCGGCCCUAAUGUACGAAAUCAAUAGUUAAGCUUUAUAAUUUAGUCAUUUUUUUAAGCUAAGCUUAAUUUCUAACAAAUUCACACCAAUUUCAUCUAAUUCUCAACAAUGGUAACUUUAUAAAACUUUAACAAUUUUCGAAAUUAGUACAUGGACUAGCUAAAUCAAGCUCUCAUGAUUCAAUUUCCAUGAAAAUCAAAGAAAAAUGACUAGGGACUUACCUGAAUUAAAGGCCAAAAGUUGAAGCCCUUAAAAAUGGCAUCCUCCUUUCUUUUAUUCUUUGCUUGGAAGGUUGGAGAAGAUGAUAUUUCAUCUCUCCUUCC
rnacentral:lncRNA from 1 species